CCUCCGUGAGGCGGCCCCUCAGUUGCCGCGCAGGGCGGGGCCCCGUGGGAUGUUACGGUGCUUGGCUCGCUGCCCCCUGAGGAGGAGGAGGAGAGGCGGGAGCGGUCAUGAAGGCGGGAGCCACGUCCAUGUGGGCUUCCUGCUGUGGGUUGCUGAAUGAAGUCAUGGGUACUGGAGCUGUCCGUGGCCAACAGCCAGGAUUUGGGGGAGGAACUGGCCCAUUCAGAUUUGCACCAAAUACAGACUUCUCAGCAUAUCCAUCUUCAGGAGCCAAUAUAGUCUGCAAAGCCUGUGGGCUUUCAUUUUCAGUUUUUAGGAAAAAGCAUGUGUGUUGUGACUGCAAGAAGGAUUUUUGCUCAGUUUGUUCAAUCUUACAAGAAAAUCUCAGAAGAUGUUCUACUUGUCACUUAUUACAAGAGACAGCAUUUCAGCGGCCUCAGUUAAUGCAAUUGAAAAUCAAGGAUCUGCGUCAGUAUCUGAUCCUUAGAAACAUACCAACAGAUACUUGUCGAGAAAAAGAAGACUUGGUGGAUCUUGUACUCUGCCAUCAUGGAUUAGGUUCUGAGGAUACAGACACUAGUAGCUUGCAUUCUUCAAGGUCACAGACUUCUAGUUUUUUUACACAUCCAUUUUCUCUCUCUGUAUCAGUGUCCUCCUCUCAAGGAGGACUUACAAAUAGAAGAGGAAGCACAGAAAAUGGAACACCUGUACAGGGACAAAGUGGAAUGCCUUCUUCAAACAAUGAAGAAGAAGAAGAAAACACAGAAGAGCAGACCCCUAGCAUGUCCAGAAAGCGAGCAAGAGCAUCAUUGUCUGAUAUUUCAAGUCUGGAAGAUAUUGAAGGAUUGAGUGUUCGACAGCUGAAGGAAAUACUUGCUCGAAAUUUUGUCAACUAUUCAGGAUGCUGUGAAAAAUGGGAACUUGUGGAGAAAGUGACCAGGCUGUACAGAGAGAGUGAGGAAAAUCACACGACACAGGGAGAGAAGAUGCAACUGAAUGAGAGUGAUGAUAAUCUAUGUAGGAUCUGCAUGGAUGCAGUAAUUGACUGUGUUCUUCUGGAAUGUGGUCACAUGGUCACUUGCACAAAGUGCGGCAAAAGAAUGAGUGAGUGUCCCAUCUGUAGACAGUAUGUUGUACGAGCAGUGCACGUAUUUAAAUCUUAAGACCAAAAAUAUGUUUUAUAGCCACCCUGAGUUCCUGUAUUUCUGGGGGCAGGACUGAUGAAGCUUGUUAUGACAAACAUUAGUUUCAAUAUGAAUCAAACAUUUUGAACGGCAGGCUACAGCAGCAUUUGGAAACACUCUCCUGUGACAGAAUUAAAAUUGCAGUUUGGCAACAUGAUGUGUACUGCAGGAGCUGCCUGAGUUACCUUAUAAAGCCAUGAACUGCUUAAGUCCAACUGUUUACAGCAGAUCUAGCAUCACUUAUUGUUCUCUUCUGAAGAACAUCACCUUAAUCAUUAAUUUACUGAAGGGUCCAGUAUAGUCAACAGAAAAGUGCUUUCCCAUGACCAUCUUGUUGGAUGAUUAUAGUCUGGUUCACUAAGAGCAAUACAUAAGCACCACUCAUAUUACUCCUUAAUAAAGUUUAAUAUAUUAGAAUGUAACUGUUCUGACACUAUUGCUACAAUAGUGUUAACAGUCAAAACAAGAUUGUAGAAAGCACUGCCAUUACAUAAGUGUUUCUGUGCAGGUACAGCUAAUCUAUUUUCAUGCUUAUUGCUUCAUUCAGAAUGUCUGUCUCAUUACAUGUAUAUUGUAUACUGUCCUUGAACAUUCUUUAUCAAAGUGAACUGUUAGAUGCUAACUUUUGGGAGUUAUAGUAUUUCAAACCUUAACCUAUUA